GGAUUAUUGGCGUAAGAGAGUGCAGGCGGUUUUCUAAGUCUGAUGUGAAAGCCUUCGGCUUAACCGGAGAAGUGCAUCGGAAACUGGAUAACUUGAGUGCAGAAGAGGGUAGUGGAACUCCAUGUGUAGCGGUGGAAUGCGUAGAUAUAUGGAAGAACACCAGUGGCGAAGGCGGCUACCUGGUCUGCAACUGACGCUGAGACUCGAAAGCAUGGGUAGCGAACAAGAUUAGAUACCCUGGUAG
rnacentral:rRNA from 1 species